AUUGAACGCUGGCGGCAGGCCUAACACAUGCAAGUCGAACGGUAACAGGAAGAAGCUUGCUUCUUUGCUGACGAGUGGCGGACGGGUGAGUAAUGUCUGGGAAACUGCCUGAUGGAGGGGGAUAACUACUGGAAACGGUAGCUAAUACCGCAUAACGUCGCAAGACCAAAAAGGGGGACCUUCGGGCCUCUUGCCAUCGGAUGUGCCCAGAUGGGAUUAGCUAGUAGGUGGGGUAACGGCUCACCUAGGCGACGAUCCCUAGCUGGUCUGAGAGGAUGACCAGCCACACUGGAACUGAGACACGGUCCAGACUCCUACGGGAGGCAGCAGUGGGGAAUAUUGCACAAUGGGCGCAAGCCUGAUGCAGCCAUGCCGCGUGUAUGAAGAAGGCCUUCGGGUUGUAAUGUACUUUCAGCGGGGAGGAAGGGAGUAAAGUUAAUACCUUUGCUCAUUGACGUUACCCGCAGAAGAAGCACCGGCUAACUCCGUG
rnacentral:rRNA from 1 species